GACGAACGCUGGCGGCGUGCCUAACACAUGCAAGUCGAGCGGAGACGUAAGAGUAGCAAUACGAUUACGUUUUAGCGGCGGACGGGUGAGUAACGCGUGAGUAACCUGUCCUCAACAGGGGGAUAACGAGCCGAAAGGCUCACUAAUACCGCAUAAGACCACGAAGCCACAUGGCAAUGAGGUCAAAGGAGCAAUCCGGUUGAGUGUGGACUCGCGUCUGAUUAGCUAGUUGGUGGGGUAACGGCCUACCAAGGCGACGAUCAGUGGCCGACCUGAGAGGGUGAUCGGCAACAGUGGAACUGAGGGACGGUCCAAACUUCGACGGGAGGCAGCAGUGAGGAAUAUUGGGCAAUGGAGGAAACUCUGACCCAGCAACGCCGCGUGAAGGAAGAAGGUUUUCGGAUCGUAAACUUCUAUCCUUGGUGAAAAUAAAAGAUGGUAGCCAAGAAGGAAGCCCCGGCUAACUACGUGCCAGCAGCCGCCGUAACAC
rnacentral:rRNA from 1 species